GCUCACUUCAGCAGCACAUAUACUAAAACUGGAACCAUACAGAGAAGAUUAGCUUGGCCCCUGCGCAAGCAUGACAUGCAAAUUCGUGAAGCGGUCCAUAGUUUU